GUCAGGGUGGCGAAACUGGUAGACGCGCAGGCCUUAGGAGUCUGUGGAGUAAUCCGUGGAGGUUCGAUUCCUCUCCCUGACA
rnacentral:tRNA from 4 species